AACUCGGGCGGGCCGAUGGGCACGCCGUCGCGGUAUCCCGAGGUGUUGGCGCGGAUGUCGCCGUCGUAGGUCUGCUCGAGCCCGUUGGGCGGCGCCGCCGCCGAGGUGUAGUAGCCGGUGUAGUAGUUGACGCCGAUGAAGUCGUAGGAGCCCUUGACGAGUGCCAUCUGCUCCGGCGUGAACCGCGGCAGCCGAUCACCGAGGUAGCUGGUCAUGGUGCCCGGGUACGAGCCGUGCACGAUGGUGUCGAGGAACCACCCGUAUAUGUAGUCGAGGCUGCGCUGCACUGCCUUGCGGUCUUCGGCGGAGUCGGUGUUGGGCACGU
rnacentral:lncRNA from 1 species